rnacentral:rRNA from 1 species
UACGUAGGGGGCAAGCGUUAUCCGGAUUUACUGGGCGUAAAGGGAGCGUAGACGGAGCAGCAAGUCUGAUGUGAAAACCCGGGGCUCAACCCCGGGACUGCAUUGGAAACUGUUGAUCUGGAGUGCCGGAGAGGUAAGCGGAAUUCCUAGUGUAGCGGUGAAAUGCGUAGAUAUUAGGAGGAACACCAGUGGCGAAGGCGGCUUACUGGACGGUAACUGACGUUGAGGCUCGAAAGCGUGGGGAGCAAACAGGAUUAGAUACCCCGGUAGUCC